rnacentral:rRNA from 1 species
GACGAACGCUGGCGGCGUGCUUAACACAUGCAAGUCGAACGGAAAGGCCCUGCUUUUGUGGGGUGCUCGAGUGGCGAACGGGUGAGUAACACGUGAGUAACCUGCCCUUGACUUUGGGAUAACUUCAGGAAACUGGGGCUAAUACCGGAUAGGAGCUCCUGCUGCAUGGUGGGGGUUGGAAAGUUUCGGCGGUUGGGGAUGGACUCGCGGCUUAUCAGCUUGUUGGUGGGGUAGUGGCUUACCAAGGCUUUGACGGGUAGCCGGCCUGAGAGGGUGACCGGCCACAUUAGGACUGAGAUACGGCCCAUACUCCUACGGGAGGCAGCAGUGGGGAAUAUUGCACAAUGGGCGGAAGCCUGAUGCAGCAACGCCGCGUGCGGGAUGACGGCCUUCGGGUUGUAAACCGCUUUCGCCUGUGACGAAGCGUGAGUGACGGUAAUGGGUAAAGAAGCACCGGCUAACUACGUG